GUUCAAAGUUGUCCUCCAUUUUUGUUUAUGUCAUGGACGGUUUUUGACGUUAUGCACAUGAGCCAGUACAAACUCUGGCUAAACAAUUUUUUUCAUUUUGAAAGGAUGUAUUUUUUCUGUUAUUAUACAGCAAUGUUUUAGUUUUUAAUUUCUUAAAAAAUUAAAAAGGCACAAAAAUUUUGUUUCUUGAUUUUAAUUGAUAAUAUUAAAGACUGCAG